AUCUGACUGGCUUAGUCAGUAGAGUGUGUGACUCUAGAUCUCGGGGUUGUGGGUUUGAGCCCCACAUUGGGUG
rnacentral:tRNA from 1 species